rnacentral:rRNA from 1 species
AUUUUUGCCGAAUUCCUUUUUAUUAAUUUAAAUAAUUUUUAUUUUUAUUAUAAAUUAUAUACUAAUUUUAUCAUUAUAACUAUUUUUUAUUUAUUAAAAAAUAUUUUUUUAUAAAAAAUUAAAUUAAAAUAAAAUUUUAAUUAAAUGAAAUUAUUUAUAAAAAACUAUAAUUUUUAAAAAAUAUAAAUUUUAAAAAUUUCAAAUAUUUUAUUUUUAUUAUAAAAAUUUAAUUUAAAGCUUAUCCCCUAAAAUAUAAAAUUAAAUUUUUAAUAAAUUAAUCAAUUAAUUUAUUAAAAAAUUAAUUUAAAAUUAAAUUUUUUUCUAAAAAAAUUAGAUAUCUUCCAAAACGAUUAACUUUUCAUUUCCAAUUAAUUAUUAAAAAUAAUUAUGCAACAUUAACUUUUUUAAUUAAUUAACUCUUUAGAAUUCGAAAUAAAUUAAACUAAAUUAUUUUUUUAAUAAACUCUGAUACACAAGAUACAAUAAAUAAAAUUUACUUUUUAAUAAAUUUUUAUUUCAAUAUUUUCAAUUUUCUUCCACAAUACUAAUUCACUAUAAAUUUUAAAAUUUUUUCUAUAAAUAUACUUUAACCCCCAUUAAAUAUUUUAUAUUAAAAUUUUUUUUCAUAAUUAUUCAUUAAUUAAAUUUUCCCCC